GCUUCGUCGGGCCGGAGACCAUGGAGACGAAGAUCUUCGGCCGCCUGACCGCGUGGCAGAACUGGAUUUUCCAGCGGCCGAACGCGGUCGGACCGAAGGGCGCCUUGACGGCCUACGGCACGUCGGAUCGCGCCGAGUUUGAUUACGGACGCACGUAGCACUCAGCACCAGAGCACAGACAUGAUCUCUUCAGAGAAGAUCCCCAACAACGUCGAUCUCCAUCUCAACAAGCGCCUGCAGCGCGCGCUCGAGCACUGGCAGCCCGCCUACAUCCAGUGGUGGAAGGACAUGGGGCCGCAGGGGUUCCAGGAAUAUCACCAGGUGUACGUGCGCACCGCGGUGAGCGUCGAUCCCUCCGGAUGGGCGCAUUUCGAGUACGUGCGGCUGCCGGAGUAUCGCUGGGGGAUCUUUCUCGCCGACCCGGUCGUCAAUCGCACCAUCGGCUUCGGCGAUUUCUUCGGCCAGCCGGUGUGGCAGGAAGUCCCGGGCGAAUUCCGCAAUCAGCUCCGUCGGCUGAUCGUCACCCAGGGUGACACCGAACCGGCCAGCGUCGAACAGCAGCGCUGGCUCGGCCACCGCUGCCCGAGCAUCUACGAUCUGCGCAACCUCUUCCAGGUCAACGUCGAGGAAGGGCGGCAUCUCUGGGCGAUGGUCUACCUCCUGCACUCGUACUUCGGCCGCGACGGCCGCGACGAGGCCGAGGACCUGCUCGCGCGUCAGAGCGGCAAUCGCGACAAGCCGCGCAUUCUCGAUGCCUUCAACGAGCCGAUCGACACCUGGCUCGACUUCUUCAUGUUCACGAUGUUCACCGACCGCGACGGCAAGUCCCAGCUGUUGUCGCUCUCGGAAAGCUCGCUCGAUCCGCUGUCGCGGACGACGCGCUUCAUGCUGACCGAAGAAGCGCAUCACAUGUUCGUCGGCGAGACCGGGAUCGCGCGGAUCAUCGAGCGCACCUGCGAGCACAUGAAGGUCGCCGGGUUUUCCGAGGACGUCCGCAAGCUUGGCGGGAUCGACCUCGACACGAUUCAGCGGUUCAUCAACCUGUGGUUCUCGCUCAGCCUCGACCUGCAUGGCAACGAGAUCUCGACCAACGCGGCCUCGUACUUUGCCAACGGGCUCAAGGGCCGCGCCGAAGAAG
rnacentral:misc_RNA from 1 species